rnacentral:rRNA from 1 species
CGGGCUACCAUGCAGUCGACGGUGAAGCAGGAGCUUGCUCUUGUGGAUCAGUGGCGAACGGGUGAGUAACACGUGAGCAACCUGCCCCUGACUCUGGGAUAAGCGCUGGAAACGGCGUCUAAUACUGGAUAUGUGACGUGACCGCAUGGUCUGCGUUUGGAAAGAUUUUUCGGUUGGGGAUGGGCUCGCGGCCUAUCAGCUUGUUGGUGAGGUAAUGGCUCACCAAGGCGUCGACGGGUAGCCGGCCUGAGAGGGUGACCGGCCACACUGGGACUGAGACACGGCCCAGACUCCUACGGGAGGCAGCAGUGGGGAAUAUUGCACAAUGGGCGAAAGCCUGAUGCAGCAACGCCGCGUGAGGGAUGACGGCCUUCGGGUUGUAAACCUCUUUUAGCAGGGAAGAAGCGAAAGUGACGGUACCUGCAGAAAAAGCGCCGGCUAACUACGUGCCAGCAGCCGCGGUAAUACGUAGGGCGCAAGCGUUAUCCGGAAUUAUUGGGCGUAAAGAGCUCGUAGGCGGUUUGUCGCGUCUGCUGUGAAAUCCCGAGGCUCAACCUCGGGCCUGCAGUGGGUACGGGCAGACUAGAGUGCGGUAGGGGAGAUUGGAAUUCCUGGUGUAGCGGUGGAAUGCGCAGAUAUCAGGAGGAACACCGAUGGCGAAGGCAGAUCUCUGGGCCGUAACUGACGCUGAGGAGCGAAAGGGUGGGGAGCAAACAGGCUUAGAUACCCUGGUAGUCCACCCCGUAAACGUUGGGAACUAGUUGUGGGGUCCAUUCCACGGAUUCCGUGACGCAGCUAACGCAUUAAGUUCCCCGCCUGGGGAGUACGGCCGCAAGGCUAAAACUCAAAGGAAUUGACGGGGACCCGCACAAGCGGCGGAGCAUGCGGAUUAAUUCGAUGCAACGCGAAGAACCUUACCAAGGCUUGACAUAUACGAGAACGGGCCAGAAAUGGUCAACUCUUUGGACACUCGUAAACAGUG